CCCCUUUUAAAAGCACUCGGUGGGCCUUUACUAAUGACCUGCUGAGCCGUCAAGGAAGGGGAGAGUAAAAACACUGCUUUUGGGUGAAGCAGCAGCAUGUUGUGUUGUUUUGCUUCAAUCGGUGGUGUGACAACG
rnacentral:snoRNA from 2 species